rnacentral:lncRNA from 1 species
GGAAACUGGAUGUUCUCCUAAAACAGCCACCUAGCCAAGCUGAACCAACAGAGAUGUAUUGAUCACCGGGUCAAUGGAACUAGGUGGGUGCUGGGGGGAAAGUCAGCAGGUAAGUCAGGUGAGGACUGCCUCCCUUCCACUCCCCACCCAGAGACUGAAGACAGACAGACAGACAGAGGCGUUCAUUCAGAAAGAAGUAGGAGGGCUUCAGGGAUUCAGCGGAGGAGACUGAAAGCCUGAGAGACGAUGCCUCUGAGAAGGUUACAGACCUUGGGAGAAAGCGCUUUCACCUCCUCACCACAGACACUCUCGACUGUGGACUCAGGACACUAAGCCAGAAAGGUGACGAUUUCCUUCUUGAACCCGGCCUGCAUCAGCAGCUCAGACCCAGGGCUCCGGGUCCUUUGCUCUAUGUCCAGUGCUCUUUUUGCUCCCUCACACACUUAGCGAUGGCAGUGUUCUUAGUAUACUCAAAGAGCUUUGUAAUGAAUUAGAGCAGCCAUUCCCAACCUUCCUAGUGCUGCGGUCCUUUAAUACAGUUUCUUAAGUUGUGGCGAACCAUCCCCCCCACCCCCAACCAUAACAUUAUUCUUGCUGCUGCUGUUAUGAAUCGUAAUGAAACAUUUGAUCUGCAGUACAUCUGAUAUGUGAUUCCCGAGAAAGGGCCAUCAUAUUCCAAGGGAUCGGGACCCACAGCGUGAGAAGCCCUGAACUAGAGAUCCGCCUAAACUGAGAAACAACCUAGCACCUAUCCCAGCCCAUCAAUGUUGUAUAUGGCAACAGAUUCAAAAGCCCAGACUAAAACAUACUCACCAUCCAUGUUACCAGCUCUCACCAUGGGGCAGCAAUGUGGAUUUAGUAAGCAUAGCCCACGGGCACUCAUUUUGAAGACACUAGGAGAACUUCAAAGCCAGGUUUGUUCUUCUGCCUCUGGUGACAUUUUUAAAAUUUCAGCACUGUUUUUUUUUUUAAUUGAUUCUUUGUGAAUUUCAUAUCAUGCACCUCAGUCCUGCACAUCUCCUGUCCCCUCCCUCCCUCCAACCUCCACCCUUCCCCAACAAAGAAAAAUAAGUCCCCACUAUGGAAGCUGUAGUGUGCCAUCGUGUGUCCUUUUGUCCACACUUCUUUGCUUGCAAGUGCUCAUUGCAUUGACUUUGUUGGUCUGGUACGAGUCAGGCCUCUGGCUUCUGCUAUGCUAACGAUGCUAGAACCUUACUGAGACUCCUCUAGGGUAGACUGUUGUCACCCCGUGUGUCAUGGAGACCCUGUAGUUUUGGAUCUGCAGGACUGGCUUCUUCACGUACUCCAGCAGUUCAUUGAUGGGAUAGACGUGGGGUGGGCUAACUCAAAGCCCUGGAUCUGGGCCUGAGAGGUGUCUGAGCUGCUCAGCCCACCAGCUCUCCAGUUCUUGUGGCCUUUGGAUUGGCUCGCCAGCAACCCCCUCUCCCAGGGCUAGCUCUCCUGGCUGACCAGGAACCUGACAAGACUGACUAGCCAUCUCUAGCAUUCAGAUAGGUGGAACUUCAUUGUGCUGAAGUUAUGUUUGAGCACCCUCUGCUGGACAAAUCAGGUAAGUACAGGAUUUUUUUUUUUUUUUUUGGUCUUGUGCCUUUUAAAUUCAUGCUCCGAAGAAGAGAAGAUUUUUAUCUCGAAUCUACACUAAAAGAAGUCUCCUCUUUAAACAGAUGCUCUAUGACUACCAACAAUGUACCAGUGGUAUUCGUCUCUUGCAGAUCUGGAAGAAAAUGAAAUUUAGGUACAUACAGUCACGAACAGAUACCUAGAUGACACAUUUAAAACCCUCAAACACAGUGGAGAUGAGACCAGCAUAAUAUUAAGCUCUUCUCCCUCACAAACACCUGUGCUACCCACACUCACAGGCAAAAAAAAUAUACACAACUGCCAGACUGCAAUGCCUCCCAAUUUAUUGGCCAAAUCUAGAUUCUGCUAGCCCUGUAUAUUCACUCAGAAAGCCAGGCUUCAGACACACCAUGAGUGAUGAGAAAUCCAUUUCAUCAGCAGAGGCAUCUUGCCUAUCUUCAGGAAGCCUACAGACUUCCAGGGAAGCAGGGGGGAAAUCAAGACGUGUCUGACUAUGAGCUGGGGUAAGGGAAGCCUCCGUGUGAAGAUGUGACCUAGUUAGGACAGCUGCCGGAAAGCAGGACUGGCAAGCUUGGUGGUUUGUACACCGGGCCUUGGGAGACUUGGGACACAAACACGAGGUCUUCUGAGGAUGUUUGUGAGUUGCUGGGUUACACAAAAAGAUUCUAGCUCAACAAGCAAAGAAGCGAAGGGGAGGGAAGGGGAGGAAAGGGAGGAGAAGAAAGGAAGUGGGAAGAGAAAAUGGGGCCAAGAAAAGCCCCAAACAUCCCAUAAGCACCCAGAACAGUGUCCCCACCGCGAACCAACCGGGAACCAAAGUGUUCACACCAGAUGAGCUCGUGGAAGGGCUUUUUGCCAAUUGUUCAUGGGUCCCCAGUGAUGAUGGAAUAUUGCGACUUACGUUUCAACCGUUUAAAAAUUUACUGUUAUUAUUUAUGCAUUUCAGUGUUUUGUCUGUUACACGCUCUGUAACUCCAGUUGCAGAAAAUGUAAAACUUUUCUGCCCCCUCCCCCUCCGGCAACCGGGCACAGACAUUUACGGGAGGCUGUGGCUACUUUAGGAGAUGUGAGCGAGCAGUCUCCUUCCUGCUGCUGCAGCUGCAAGCUGCUCCUGCCGCCCAUGCCUUCUCUACUGCCAUGCCUUCCCUACCACAAGGGCCAGAACUCUCACACUGAAAGCCAGAAUAAAUCCUUCCUCUCUUCGGUUGGUUGUUGUCAGGAGAAGGCAGCAGCUGGCAUCAAUGGUGUGGUGAGGAGAGAAUCAAGUUUCCUUCUCCAGUUCAAACAGACGAAAGUGAAGCGACAUAGGCUCAAGGACAGGGUCACUGGGCUAGCGCCACACCAUGGAGCCAAACCCCGAGCCUUCUAAAUUGUGAGCUGGGCAUGGUGGUUCACCCCAGGAAUCGCAGCACUGAGGGAUGAAGGCGAGAGAGUCACUGUGGGUGUGACAUCAGUCUGGCCUGAAGUCUGAGACUGUUUUUUUAAAAAGAAAACAUUUUUUUAUGUCAUAUAUUUAAUUAUAUAAAGAUUCUGUUGUUUUGUUGUUGUUGUUGUUAAAAUUCAGCCAGGAAAUUUCCAUCUGUCUGGUGUUAAUUGGUUGUUUUUCAGCACUAAUUGGGAAAUGAUAUAUUUUUAUUGUUUUAUAAAUAGAGUAAAACCCCUCAGAAACUGCUGGGGAAAUUUAAACAAGGAAAGCAAUUCUAUGUCCUUGCUUGACACCAGUUUGUCCCAGAGGUGACACAACUGUGUAGUUUUUGAAAACACUGGGCAUUUAUAUAUAUAUGAGACAAAACCCCACUGUAUAGCCCUGGCUAACUCGAAACUCACUAUGUAAAUCAGGCUGGGCUUUGACACACAGAGCUCUGCCUUUGCCUACUCAGUGUUGGGAUUUAACACCCACACCACCAUAGCCAGCCUUCUCUCCAAGGGGCAAAUUUCUUUCUGAAGCAACUUCCUCAUUUAUUAACAGUAUUGCUUCCAGACCCCGUGUGUGUGUGUGUGUGUGUGUGUGUGUGUGUGUGUGUGUGUACAGAUAUGUGUUUGCAAGUAUUUAGACACAAGUUGAUGCAGACUACACCAGUUUCAUGAAAUUGUUCCCAUGUCAGUGGCUAGUCUGAGCCUUUUGUACUUGUAAACAGCUGGCUGUAAACUGGGGAUUCCCAUACUCUCCUCUUCAGCCCCAUAAUUAUCAUGGUGAUUUGCAACCUGUAGGUAAUGACCCGUUUGGCUCAUAUAUCAGAUAUUCUGCAUGUCAGAUAUUUAUAUUUUGAUUCAUAACAAUAGUAAAAUUAUAGUUAUGAAGUAGUAAUGUAAAUAGUUACACUGUGGGGGUCACCACAACACGAGGAACUGUGUUAAAUGGCUUCAGCAAUAGGAAGGUUGAGAGCCACUGAUUUAUUAGGUCAUUUCAUGGAUCGUGGGGAUGCUUUCUACUUUCAUCUAUUGUUUAUUACAAAAGAUGUAGACAGACAGAUAGAUAGACAGACUCACAGAUAAAUAGAAAAAUAGAUGACAGAAAGAUAGAAAGUUAGGUAAAAAGAUAAAAAGAUAGGUAGAUGCUAGAAAGAUAGAUAGACUCAAAGACAAAUAGAAAGAUAGAUAAUAGAGAAAGGUGGAAAGAAAAAUAGAUAGAUGAUGGAAAGAUAGGUAGAUAGACUGACAGAAUGA